GGGCCCGCACAAGCGGUGGAGCAUGUGGUUUAAUUCGAUGAUACGCGAGGAACCUUACCAGGGCUUAAAUGUAGUAUGACCGGUCUAGAAAUAGGCCUUCCCUUCGGGGCAGAUUACAAGGUGCUGCAUGGUUGUCGUCAGCUCGUGCCGUGAGGUGUUAGGUUAAGUCCUGCAACGAGCGCAACCCCUAUUCUUAGUUGCCAGCGGUUCGGCCGGGGACUCUAAGAAGACUGCCAGCGCAAGCUGAGAGGAAGGUGGGGAUGACGUCAAAUCAUCACGGCCCUUACGUCCUGGGCUACACACGUGCUACAAUGGCCGAGACAAAGAGUCGCAAGUUUGCAAAGACAAGCUAAUCUCAUAAACUCGGUCUCAGUUCGGAUUGUAGGCUGCAACUCGCCUACAUG
rnacentral:rRNA from 1 species